GACGGACGUCUGAGGAAAAUACUCAAGUAGUGCAGGGAAAGGAAAAAUUCUAACCUCGACCGUAAUUACCGCGUGUCCAUCGUGGCUAAGAUCUAGUCAAAAGAUCAGCCGACCAUUCCUACGAUUAUUAAGCGAAGGCCGAACCCAUCGGGUUUGGCCGUACGUAAUACCGUACGAAACUCCGGUCGUAGUGCCGUAAGCCGUACCCACUACAGUCUCGUCACCUUACCACACAUAUAAAUACCCAGCGUCCCGAUCGACUACAGUAUGUGUUAGCCGUCUUCGCCCCCAAAUCUUCUUUCGGCGUGGCGUCUGCAUACAUUGACUUUCGUCAUUGCUACGUCGCUUACGCCGCCCGCAUACGAACAGUAACGCUAAAGGAGAAGACAUUUACCGGCGCCGAAAUACUGUUUGCGUUGCUGAUGAAGUCAUUCGGUGUCUCGAUCAUGAUGGCUAUGCCCAUGCAUUUCUUCAUAUUAGAAUAAUACUUUGGAACCCCACUAUUGUACUGACCCUAGGAUUAACAUUAAAAGUUAAAUUCGUGUGAUUCGGUUUGGUUGGCUUAUCAUAAAGAAAUGUGCAGCUAGAAGGAAAGGAACUAAAACUAAUACUCGCGCGUAUCGCCUAUCAACUCUGACACACUGAUAUUUACAAGUUUUCAGCCACCCUCAUCGACCACAUGGAAGCGCUUUCAUCGUUGGAUUUGAUCGUAAUCCGUACUGUAACGCUGACCAAUCCAAUUGUUCACGUGUUUGUUUUGUUCUGCUCUUUCGCAAGCAAUGUAACUUUCUGCAAUUCCGAAUCUAUCGACAACCGAACUUAUGAUUGGGAU